rnacentral:rRNA from 1 species
UGGGGAAUAUUGCGCAAUGGGCGAAAGCCUGACGCAGCUACGCCGCGUGGGUGAUGAAGGCCUUCGGGUUGUAAAGCCCUGUCGGGAGGGAAGAAGUUCUGACGGUACCUCCCAAGAAAGCACCGGCUAACUCCGUGCCAGCAGCCGCGGUAAUACGGAGGGUGCAAGCGUUGCUCGGAAUCAUUGGGCGUAAAGCGUACGCAGGCUGUUCGUUAAGUCGGGUGUGAAAGCCCGGGGCUCAACCCCGGAACUGCGCCCGAAACUGGCGAGCUUGAGUGCGGGAGAGGGAAGCGGAAUUCCUGGUGUAGAGGUGAAAUUCGUAGAUAUUAGGAAGAACACCAGUGGCGAAGGCGGCUCACUGGUCCGGUACUGACGCUGAGGUGCGAAAGCGUGGGGAGCAAACAGGAUUAGAUACCCAUGUAGUCCCUGAGCGGGCUGGCAAGGCGCAU